GAUGAAGAACGUAGCGAAAUGCGAUAAGUAAUGCGAAUUGCAGAAUUCAGUGAAUCAUCGAAUCUUUGAACGCACAUUGCGCCCGCCAGUAUUCUGGCGGGCAUGCCUGUCUGAGCGUCGUUUCGACCCUCGCGCCCGGCUUCUGUCGGGGGCGGUGUUGGGGAUCGGCCACACCCUUCAGUGGGAGGCCGGCCCCUAAAUUCAGUGGCGACCACGCUGUAGCCUCCCCUGCGUAGUACUAAAACCACCUCGCAGGCGGAGAGAGGUGCGGCCCGCCGUAAAACCCCCCAACUUUUACAAGGUCGACCUCAGAUCAGGUAGGAAUACCCGCUGAACUUAAGCAUAUCAAUAAGCGGAGGA
rnacentral:misc_RNA from 1 species